UACGGAGGGGGCGAGCGUUAUUCGGAAUCAUUGGGCGUAAAGGGCGCGUAGGCGGCAAUUCAAGUCAGUUGUGAAAUCUCCGAGCUUAACUCGGAACGGUCAACUGAUACUGUUUUGCUAGAGUACAGAAGGGGCAAUCGGAAUUCUUGGUGUAGCGGUGAAAUGCGUAGAUAUACGGAGGAACACCAGAGGCGAAGGCGGAUCGCUGGGCCAACACUGACGCUGAGACGCGAAAGCUAGGGUAGCAAACGGG
rnacentral:rRNA from 1 species